UGGGGAAUAUUGCGCAAUGGACGAAAGUCUGACGCAGCGACGCCGCGUGUGGGAGGAAGCCUUUCGGGGUGUAAACCACUGUCAGAGGGGAAGAACGGCGUCGGUUCGAAUAGGAUCGGCGAUUGACGGUACCCUCAGAGGAAGCGCCGGCUAACUCCGUGCCAGCAGCCGCGGUAAGACGGAGGGCGCAAGCGUUGUUCGGAAUUACUGGGCGUAAAGCGCGGGCAGGUGGUCUGUUAAGUCGUUUGUGAAAACCCGGGGCUCAACCCCGCGGAAUGCAGACGAUACUGGCAGACUAGAGACCAGUAGAGGCUAGCGGAAUUCCUGGUGUAGCGGUGGAAUGCGUAGAUAUCAGGAAGAACACCUGUGGCGAAGGCGGCUAGCUGGGCUGGGUCUGACACUCAUCCGCGAAAGCGUGGGGAGCAAACAGG
rnacentral:rRNA from 1 species